rnacentral:misc_RNA from 1 species
AACGGUCUAUACCUGCGGUACCUGCGGAAGGAUCAUUACCGAGUGAGGGCCCUCUGGGUCCAACCUCCCACCCGUGUUUAUCGUACCUUGUUGCUUCGGCGGGCCCGCCUCACGGCCGCCGGGGGGCACCUGCCCCCGGGCCCGCGCCCGCCGAAGACAUCAUUGAACUCUGUCUGAAGAUUGCAGUCUGAGUAGAUUAGCUAAAUCAGUUAAAACUUUUAACAACGGAUCUCUAGAUCG